rnacentral:tRNA from 1 species
CUCAAAGGCUUUUUUGGGGGUUUAGCUCAGUUGGUUUAGAGCAUCGGCUUUGCAAGCCGGGGGUCAAGGGUUCGAAUCCCUUAACCUCCAUUUAUUUGUUUUUAAAUAAGUGUGAAUUAAGCCUUUUAAGAAAUGUCUUGUAUUAAAAAAGAAGCUAUUCAAACGUAUUGUUGCUUUUAAAGUGUUAUUUUUUGAUUUAUUUAGGUGAAUUUAGUAUUUUAUAUUGAGUUAACAAAUUUUUUCAUGGGCUUAAAAGGUAUGUUUUUAUGUUAUUUGUUAUCCUGAUGAAUUUCUUUUUAUGAAUUCCAAGACUUGAUUACAUGCAAAAACUUUAUCUUUAAUUAUUUUAUUCAUAUUAUCAAGAACCUUAUCAUGAAUCAACCUAAU